CGGCGAAGCAGCAAGUGGCGAGCAGGAAGCUUUGAUUUGAGGCAGCCUUCCUGGAGAGGGCUCCUUCUGUCAGCAGCUGAGCAGAGAGAAGCGGAGCCCACUGAUUAAAGUCCCGUUUGUUUUAAUCUUCUCCUUCAUCCAGGGGAGGCCCACAGAAAAGGAGAGAUCCUGCUUGGGGGCAGGACGAUGCUCUUCUCUCGGGACCAUUUCCGUCUUCUUUUUGGGUCCUGAAAAGGAAGCAGUGGUGCAGUAAUGACACACAGGAUGAGGGGUAUACUUAAAAGGUUGGCAUGCAAAUUAUGGUUUCAAAGCAGGGGAGGAUUCUGGGUAUCAGGCUUCCUCUUGAUGAACAGGUGGGCACUGCUAGGUCUGUCUGUACCUCCUAAAGCCCACAUCAACUUUCUUUGUUUCUGAGGGGUUUAAGAUUAGGGCUCGGGUCAGCAGUGGGUCUCAUCAGCAAACACACAGUUUCAUAACCGCAGUCUUCAGUCUGUACAAACAUGGUUUAUGUUUGAAGAGGGCUUCUUCUAUUGCAACAACGUUGCUGGGUUACUAUAAAUCUGGCAGUUACUUGACUGAAUAAAGUAUUUGUGGCAAAUGA